ensembl:snoRNA
CUGCAUUCCUAAACCCUCUUGGUGGCCUCCCUGCGCACGCUUCCAGGAUAUGAGCGAAUGCUACAGAGACUGCAGGGAGUCCAAAGGGCUGCGCUCCUGCGGUGGCUCAGUCUUAUUUCAUACCUGCGACAUCU